ensembl:snRNA U6 U6 spliceosomal RNA
GUGCUCAUUUUGGUAGCAUAUGUACUAAAAUUGAAACAACACAGAAAAGAUUAGCAUGGCCCCUAUACAAGGAUGACACGCAAAUUUGUGAAGCAAAAAAAAAAGUU